ensembl:lncRNA
GAAAAUAAACCACUACUUCUGCUGCUUCUGCUAAGUCACUUCAGUCAUGUCCAACUCUUAGCGACCCCCUGGACUGCAGCCUACCAGGCUUCUCUGUCCAUGGGAUUUUCCAGGCAAGAGUACUGGAGUGGGGUACCACUGGCUACUCUGAAACCACUACUAUAUAGAGAUUUUUAAAAUACCUCUCUCAAAAAUAAUUUGAUGAAAGAAUAAAUUCAAAGUCAUCUAGAAUGGCAGAAUAAGAUAAUGAAAAUGUAUGCAUACUAUAAUCUAUGGAAUAGUGCUGAAUCUGCACUCAGAGUAAAAAUAAUGUUAAAUACUAAUAUAAAAUGUCUAGAAAUACAGUUUACAUAAUUGAUUAGGUAUCCAGAUCUGUAAGUUUUAAGGAAACUACAACAUUCAGAUGCACACACACACACUGGUAAGCAGAAGGAAUUAAGAAUGAUUAAAGCAAAAAAAUAAAAUGCAAAUAUAUAAGCUGGUUUUUUUUUUAUUUAAGAAAAAUCAAUAAACAGAUAAACCAUUAAUGUAAUAAAAAAAAAUAAAGGAGGAAGUGCAAUUAAACAAAAUAGGAAACUAUGAAUAGGACAUACUCAGAGAAAAGCAUACACCAAAGAAAUAGGAAAUAAACCCUUGUUACACCAAGACAGAUUCACCUGGGAAUGUGAUAGGACUUUAAAAUUUUCAGCGUGAUUUUCCAAACAUCAAUCUAAGAAACAAAUCAAACCAGAACAAUUACUAAUGAAAAGUUAAAAUUUCAGGAAUGUACUUAUGCCCUGGACUGCCCCAAAAGACAUUUGUCCCAGAAAUUUACGAAAACCUUUAAAUAGAUUGCAAUGUUAUAUACACCACUCCAAAGAAGAGAAGAAAAAGAUUUAGUUAGCUUGUGAGUGACACCUAACAUUGAUAUCAGAAUGUUUCUAAUAUAGUAUAACACAGAGUUAACUAGAGCCCAGUCUCAUUUUCAUUUGUGAAUAUUGAUGCCAAAAUAAUCUCAAAUGAAAAACUGACAAACAAGCAAAACUAGCACAGCAGAAGAAGAGUACAUCAGGAAAGAAUAGGUUAUUUUCCAAAAAAAAAAAGAAAAGGAUGGUAGAAUAUUAAAAAAUGUUUGAUCUUAAUGUAGCAAAAUACAUAAUUAUUUGGACAUCUUAUAUCUGGAAAAACACUAAAUUCAAGUUCUAUAUAAUUUUAUAUAAAUGUGUGAGAUGUGUUAUCUAUAUAUGUAUAUGUGUACAUGUAUAUAGUAUACAUCUAUAAGAUUUUUAAUGCACAGUCACAAAACACAUGACUAAGGAAGCAAAUGAGUUAAAAAUAUUAAAUAAUGGAAGAAAUUAAUAUAUUAAAUAUUAUGAUUGAUUCGAUUUAUUUAAAAAUAUGUAAAAUAGGUACACCAUUAUCUAACUUAAGAAAAUGAGGGAAAAAACAGCAACAAAAUGCAAAUAUGGAGUUGGACACACACUCAAUUCAUAGGAAUUCACCACA